ACAAACUUGGUCAUUUAGAGGAAGUAAAAGUCGUAACAAGGUUUCCGUAGGUGAACCUGCGGAAGGAUCAUUACUGAAGGAAUGAUAGGGUUGAGCUGACUCCUUUGAGAGUAUGUGCUUACUCUAUCGCUUUUUCUAUUCUCCCUUGUGAACCUUUUGUAGACUCUAUAUUGAUAUAAACUUGCUGAUGCUUGCAUCUCAAGUUUUGUUGAGACUUUGCGUUUUGUUACAAGGCGCUUGACUCUGCUUUUAUCAGUAUCGGUCUAUGAUCUUAUCAUAUCUACUCUGUUAAGUUUAUGAAUGUCUCAUUGUUGGUUCUUAAUACCAAUAAAUUGUUUAUACAACUUUCAGCAACGGAUCUCUUGGCUCUCGCAUCGAUGAAGAACGCAGC
rnacentral:misc_RNA from 1 species